rnacentral:rRNA from 1 species
GACAGAGGGGGCAAGCGUUGCUCGGAAUUACUGGGCGUAAAGGGCGCGUAGGCGGGAUGGCAAGUCGGUCGUCGAAAUCCCCCGGCUCAACCGAGGAACGUCGAUCGAUACUGCUGUUCUUGAGGAUUGCAGAGGAGACUGGAAUUCCCGGUGUAGCGGUGAAAUGCGUAGAUAUCGAGAGGAACACCUGCGGCGAAGGCGGGUUGCUGGGCUGACACUGACGCUGAAGCGCGAAAGCUAGGGGAGCGAACGGG